rnacentral:sRNA from 1 species
AUUCUGCCCAUGCGGGGAAGGAUGAGAAGCUUCGACCAAGGUUCGACUCGAGCGCCAGCGAGAGAGCGUUGCCGCAGGCAACGACCCGAAGGGAGAAGCGCGCAGCGCUGAGUAAUCCUUCCCCCACCACCA